CCCCUCUCAGGAUUGCACCUGGAGAGUUUCCAGUACUCUACCAGUCUCGGCUAUGGGAGGGAGCAUCAAACAGAGGAACACCCAUUCCAUUCCUAGUUUGGGCAUGGCUAGCGAGUGGAAGGCAAUCUGCUACAAGU